rnacentral:rRNA from 1 species
CUCCUAAGGCUAAAUACUCUCUAGUGACCGAUAGUGAACCAGUACCGUGAGGGAAAGGUGAAAAGCACCCCGGAAGGGGAGUGAAAUAGAACCUGAAACCGUGUGCUUACAAGUAGUCAGAGCCCGUUAAUGGGUGAUGGCGUGCCUUUUGUAGAAUGAACCGGCGAGUUACGAUUUGAUGCAAGGUUAAGCAGUAAAUGUGGAGCCGUAGCGAAAGCGAGUCUGAAUAGGGCGUUUAGUAUUUGGUCGUAGACCCGAAACCAGGUGAUCUACCCUUGGUCAGGUUGAAGUUCAGGUAACACUGAAUGGAGGACCGAACCGACUUACGUUGAAAAGUGAGCGGAUGAACUGAGGGUAGCGGAGAAAUUCCAAUCGAACCUGGAGAUAGCUGGUUCUCUCCGAAAUAGCUUUAGGGCUAGCCUCAAGUGAUGAUUAUUGGAGGUAGAGCACUGUUUGGACGAGGGGCCCCUCUCGGGUUACCGAAUUCAGACAAACUCCGAAUGCCAAUUAAUUUAACUUGGGAGUCAGAACAUGGGUGAUAAGGUCCGUGUUCGAAAGGGAAACAGCCCAGACCACCAGCUAAGGUCCCAAAAUAUAUGUUAAGUGGAAAAGGAUGUGGCGUUGCCCAGACAACUAGGAUGUUGGCUUAGAAGCAGCCAUCAUUUAAAGAGUGCGUAAUAGCUCACUAGUCGAGUGACACUGCGCCGAAAAUGUACCGGGGCUAAACAUAUUACCGAAGCUGUGGAUUGUCCUUUGGACAAUGGUAGGAGAGCGUUCUAAGGGCGUUGAAGCAUGAUCGUAAGGACAUGUGGAGCGCUUAGAAGUGAGAAUGCCGGUGUGAGUAGCGAAAGACGGGUGAGAAUCCCGUCCACCGAUUGACUAAGGUUUCCAGAGGAAGGCUCGUCCGCUCUGGGUUAGUCGGGUCCUAAGCUGAGGCCGACAGGCGUAGGCGAUGGAUAACAGGUUGAUAUUCCUGUACCACCUAUAAUCGUUUUAAUCGAUGGGGGGACGCAGUAGGAUAGGCGAAGCGUGCGAUUGGAUUGCACGUCUAAGCAGUAAGGCUGAGUAUUAGGCAAAUCCGGUACUCGUUAAGGCUGAGCUGUGAUGGGGAGAAGACAUUGUGUCUUCGAGUCGUUGAUUUCACACUGCCGAGAAAAGCCUCUAGAUAGAAAAUAGGUGCCCGUACCGCAAACCGACACAGGUAGUCAAGAUGAGAAUUCUAAGGUGAGCGAGCGAACUCUCGUUAAGGAACUCGGCAAAAUGACCCCGUAACUUCGGGAGAAGGGGUGCUCUUUAGGGUUAACGCCCAGAAGAGCCGCAGUGAAUAGGCCCAAGCGACUGUUUAUCAAAAACACAGGUCUCUGCUAAACCGUAAGGUGAUGUAUAGGGGCUGACGCCUGCCCGGUGCUGGAAGGUUAAGAGGAGUGGUUAGCUUCUGCGAAGCUACGAAUCGAAGCCCCAGUAAACGGCGGCCGUAACUAUAACGGUCCUAAGGUAGCGAAAUUCCUUGUCGGGUAAGUUCCGACCCGCACGAAAGGCGUAACGAUUUGGGCACUGUCUCAACGAGAGACUCGGUGAAAUCAUAGUACCUGUGAAGAUGCAGGUUACCCGCGACAGGACGGAAAGACCCCGUGGAGCUUUACUGUAGCCUGAUAUUGAAAUUCGGCACAGCUUGUACAGGAUAGGUAGGAGCCUUUGAAACGUGAGCGCUAGCUUACGUGGAGGCGCUGGUGGGAUACUACCCUAGCUGUGUUGGCUUUCUAACCCGCACCACUUAUCGUGGUGGGAGACAGUGUCAGGCGGGCAGUUUGACUGGGGCGGUCGCCUCCUAAAAGGUAACGGAGGCGCUCAAAGGUUCCCUCAGAAUGGUUGGAAAUCAUUCAUAGAGUGUAAAGGCAUAAGGGAGCUUGACUGCGAGACCUACAAGUCGAGCAGGGUCGAAAGACGGACUUAGUGAUCCGGUGGUUCCGCAUGGAAGGGCCAUCGCUCAACGGAUAAAAGCUACCCCGGGGAUAACAGGCUUAUCUCCCCCAAGAGUUCACAUCGACGGGGAGGUUUGGCACCUCGAUGUCGGCUCAUCGCAUCCUGGGGCUGUAGUCGGUCCCAAGGGUUGGGCUGUUCGCCCAUUAAAGCGGUACGCGAGCUGGGUUCAGAACGUCGUGAGACAGUUCGGUCCCUAUCCGUCGUGGGCGUAGGAAAUUUGAGAGGAGCUGUCCUUAGUACGAGAGGACCGGGAUGGACAUACCUCUGGUGUACCAGUUGUCGU